UACGUAGGGUGCAAGCGUUUAUCCGGAAUCAUUGGGCGUAAAGCGCGUGUAGGCGGCCCGGUAAGUUCGCUGUGAAAGUCCAGGGCUCAACCCUGGAAUGCCGGUGGAUACUGUCGGGCUCGAGUCCGGAAGAGGCGAGUGGAAUUCCUGGUGUAGCGGUGAAAUGCGCAGAUAUCAGGAGGAACACCGAUGGCGAAGGCAGCUCGCUGGGACGGUACUGACGCUGGAGACGCGAAAGCGUGGGGAGCAAACAGG
rnacentral:rRNA from 1 species